rnacentral:rRNA from 1 species
ACAAUGAAGAGUUUGAUCCUGGCUCAGGAUGAACGCUAGCGGCAGGCUUAACACAUGCAAGUCGAGGGGCAGCACGGGUAGCAAUACUCCGGUGGCGACCGGCGCACGGGUGCGUAACGCGUAUGCAACCUGCCUUUACAGGGGGGAUAGCCUUCGAGAAAUCGGAUUAAUACCCCAUAAUGAUAUUAAUGGCAUCAUUUAAUAUUUAAAGUUCGGCGGUACAGGAUGGGCAUGCGUAAGAUUAGCUGGUUGGUGGGGUAACGGCCUACCAAGGCGAUGAUCCGUAGGGGGCGUGAGAGCGUGAUCCCCCACACUGGUACUGAGACACGGACCAGACUCCUACGGGAGGCAGCAGUGAGGAAUAUUGGUCAAUGGGUGCAAGCCUGAACCAGCCAUCCCGCGUGAAGGACGACUGCCCUAUGGGUUGUAAACUUCUUUUGUAUAGGGAUAAACCUACCCUCGUGAGGGUAGCUGAAGGUACUAUACGAAUAAGCAUCGGCUAACUCCGUGCCAGCAGCCGCGGUAAUACGGGGGAUGCAAGCGUUAUCCGGAUUUAUUGGGUUUAAAGGGUGCGUAGGCGGAUCUGUAAGUCAGUGGUGAAAUCCUGCAGCUUAACUGUAGAACUGCCAUUGAUACUGAAUGUCUUGAGUACAAUUGAGGUAGGCGGAAUGUGUAAUGUAGCGGUGAAAUGCUUAGAUAUUACACAGAACACCAAUUGCGAAGGCAGCUUACUGAGCCAUAACUGACGCUGAGGCACGAAAGCGUGGGGAGCGAACAGGAUUAGAUACCCUGGUAGUCCACGCCGUAAACGAUGAUCACUCGCUGUUGGCGAUACACAGUCAGCGGCUAAGCGAAAGCAUUAAGUGAUCCACCUGGGGAGUACGGCCGCAAGGCUGAAACUCAAAGGAAUUGACGGGGCCCGCACAAGCGGAGGAACAUGUGGUUUAAUUCGAUGAUACGCGAGGAACCUUACCUGGGCUUAAAUGUAUAAUUGCAGUCCUUCGAAAAGAGGUUUCCUUCGGGGCUCUAUGCAAGGUGCUGCAUGGUUGUCGUCAGCUCGUGCCGUGAGGUGUCGGCGUAAGUGCCAUAACGAGGGCAAGCCUUAUCAUUAGUUGCCAGCGGUCAUGCCGGGAACUCUAACGAAACUGCCGGUGUAAACCGUGAGGAAGGUGGGGAUGACGUCAAAUCAGCACGGCCCUUAUGUCCAGGGCUACACGUGUUACAAUGGCCGGUACAGAGGGCAGCUACACAGCGAUGUGAUGCAAAUCUCGAAAGCCGGUCUCAGUUCGGAUCGGAGUCUGCAACUCGACUCCGUGAAGCUGGAUUCGCUAGUAAUCGCGCAUCAGCCAUGGCGCGGUGAAUACGUUCCCGGGCCUUGUACACACCGCCCGUCAAGCCAUGGAAGUUGGGGGUACCUGAAGUCCGUAACCGUAAGGAGCGGCCUAGGGUAAAACUAGUGACUGGGGCUAAGUCGUAACAAGGUAGCCGUACCGGAAGGUGCGGCUGGAACACCUCCUUU